GCACUUUUGUGCGGCCAACUGUCAUGGGGUUGUCUAUUUGUGUUGUCCAUUUUCAGCAUUUUGCUAUUUUUGGAUGAUCUCGAUCGGUUGCCUGUAUGGAUCUACCCUUUUGGGUAGUGCAAUUUUUUCGUUGCGGCUUAUUUAGCUUGCUCUGUUAAUGUUAUUGUUGACAGAGCGGCCGAGAUGUCAGCGGAUUCCAAGUGUAUCCAUGUGCGAAGCUGUGGUAAUUCACUUGGAUGUAUGCUGGGUCUCAUGGAUGUGGUCCCUUUUGUGAGCUCUACAGGUCUUUCCUGUAGAUGCUGAGAGGUAGCCCCUGCAAAGAUCAAUUGCUCAAUUGCAAAGUGGCAUAUUAUUGUACUUAUGCUGAGAGGUCUUGUUCUUUGUUUGCGGCAAUCCUCGUUGACCAAAUGACUUGCGAUAGCUGGUGCGUUAUUGAAAGG
rnacentral:misc_RNA from 1 species